GGGGGCGAUCGGUUUCGACGGAAUAUGCGUCUUUUUAAAUGGCAUGUCGAGUUCCAGGAUCUCGUUAAUCCUCUGGAAAAACCAUAAAUGCCGAUUACGGCUACAUGGCCGCUGCUUAAGUAAGUGGCCCAUCCUUAGCUUAGUACGCCUAUGGCUUUGCUAAAGGGUGUCAAAUUCAUGGGCUGGUUUUGGUUGUGUCUGUGAAACCAAAAUAAGAAUUUAACAGACUGUGCUUAUGAUAGUUGAGUCCUCAGGACAGUUAUAUGCAAGAUUAAACUGAGCGACUAAGCGUGUAGAUAUUUACUUAGAUUCUAUUUCGGACGGGAGUUCGAUUCUCCCCGCCUCCACAA
rnacentral:tmRNA from 1 species